GUGAGCCUCAGAAUGAGGUGAAUAACCUGCGCUCAGGUUCGAGCCGAGCGAAGCGAGACAGCAACGCGUUAGCGUUGACCCCGAAGGCCGAGUCAUCCUGCACGACCCACCA
rnacentral:sRNA from 1 species